CGGGAAAAGCUCAAAUUUAAAAUCUGGCAGUCUUUGGCUGUCCGAGUUGUAAUUUAGAGAAGUGUUACCCGUGCUGGACUAUGUAAAAGUCUUCUGGAAUGAAGCAUCAUGGAGGGUGAGAAUCCCGUAUGUGAC
rnacentral:rRNA from 1 species